UGUUGCUCUGCAACCUACCAAUGCUUUAGCAGUCUGAAAGAAGCGCUUUAGGGUGACUGUAUCAAUCAAGGUUCCGUUAGUCUGAGAGGAACGCCUUCGGGUGACUACAUUAUCUGCCAGACCUGAAAAGGCAGACAGUAAAUACUCUGGGUAAACCU
rnacentral:sRNA from 1 species